UGCAGUCGAGCGAACGGAUAAGGAGCUUGCUCCUUUGAAGUUAGCGGCGGACGGGUGAGUAACACGUGGGUAACCUACCUAUAAGACUGGGAUAACUUCGGGAAACCGGAGCUAAUACCGGAUAACAUUUAGAACCGCAUGGUUCUAAAGUGAAAGAUGGUUUUGCUAUCACUUAUAGAUGGACCCGCGCCGUAUUAGCUAGUUGGUAAGGUAACGGCUUACCAAGGCGACGAUACGUAGCCGACCUGAGAGGGUGAUCGGCCACACUGGAACUGAGACACGGUCCAGACUCCUACGGGAGGCAGCAGUAGGGAAUCUUCCGCAAUGGGCGAAAGCCUGACGGAGCAACGCCGCGUGAGUGAUGAAGGGUUUCGGCUCGUAAAACUCUGUUAUUAGGGAAGAACAAAUGUGUAAGUAACUGUGCACAUCUUGACGGUACCUAAUCAGAAAGCCACGGCUAACUACGUGCCAGCAGCCGCGGUAAUACGUAGGUGGCAAGCGUUAUCCGGAAUUAUUGGGCGUAAAGCGCGCGUAGGCGGUUUCUUAAGUCUGAUGUGAAAGCCCACGGCUCAACCGUGGAGGGUCAUUGGAAACUGGGAAACUUGAGUGCAGAAGAGGAAAGUGGAAUUCCAUGUGUAGCGGUGAAAUGCGCAGAGAUAUGGAGGAACACCAGUGGCGAAGGCGAC
rnacentral:rRNA from 1 species